rnacentral:rRNA from 1 species
UGGAGGAGUCACAAAUAGUGUCUCAAAGAUUAAGCCCAUGCAUGUCUAAGUAUAAGCAAUUAUACCGUGAACUGCGAAUGCUCAUUAAAUCAGUAUCGUUUAUUUGAUAGUACCUUACUACUUGGAUAACCCGUGGUAAUUCUAGAGCUAAUACAUGCUGAAAACCCCAACUUCGGGAGGGGUGUAUUUAUUAGAUAAAAAACCAACGCCCUUCGGGGCUUCUUGGUGAUUCAUGAUAACUUAACGGAUCGCAUGGCCCUGCGCCGGCGACGGGUUCAUUCAAAUUUCUGCCCUAUCAACUUUCGAUGGUAAGGUAUUGGCUUACCAUGGUUUCAACGGGUAACGGGGAAUUAGGGUUCGAUUCCGGAGAGGGAGCGUGAGAAACGGCUACCACAUCCAAGGAAGGCAGCAGGCGCGCAAAUUACCCAAUCCCGACACGGGGAGGUAGUGACAAUAAAUACUGAUACAGGGCUCUUUUGGGUCUUGUAAUUGGAAUGAGUACAAUUUAAACCUCUUAACGAGGAACAAUUGGAGGGCAAGUCUGGUGCCAGCAGCCGCGGUAAUUCCAGCUCCAAUAGCGUAUAUUAAAGUUGUUGCAGUUAAAAAGCUCGUAGUUGAACCUUGGGUCUGGCUGGCAGGUCCGCCUCACCGCGUGUACUUGUCCGGCCGGGCCUUCCUUCUGGAGAACCUCAUGCCCUUCACUGGGCGUGUUGGGGACCAGGACUUUUACUUUGAAAAAAUUAGAGUGUUCAAAGCAGGCCUUUGCUCGAAUACGUUAGCAUGGAAUAAUAAAAUAGGACGUGCGGUCCUAUUUUGUUGGUUUCUAGGACCGCCGUAAUGAUUAAUAGGGACAGUCGGGGGCAUCAGUAUUCAAUUGUCAGAGGUGAAAUUCUUGGAUUUAUUGAAGACUAACUACUGCGAAAGCAUUUGCCAAGGAUGUUUUCAUUAAUCAGUGAACGAAAGUUAGGGGAUCGAAGACGAUCAGAUACCGUCGUAGUCUUAACCGUAAACUAUGCCGACUAGGGAUCGGGCGAUGUUCUUUUUCUGACUCGCUCGGCACCUUACGAGAAAUCAAAGUUUUUGGGUCUGGGGAGAGCCCCG